rnacentral:rRNA from 1 species
GACGGGGGGGGCAAGUGUUCUUCGGAAUGACUGGGCGUAAAGGGCACGUAGGCGGUGAAUCGGGUUGAAAGUGAAAGUCGCCAAAAAGUGGCGGAAUGCUCUCGAAACCAAUUCACUUGAGUGAGACAGAGGAGAGUGGAAUUUCGUGUGUAGGGGUGAAAUCCGUAGAUCUACGAAGGAACACCAAUAGCGAAGGCAGCUCGCUGGGACGUUACUGACACUGAGGCGCGAAAGCGUGGGGAGCGAACAGG